rnacentral:rRNA from 1 species
CCUACGGGUGGCUGCAGUCGGGAAUAUUGCGCAAUGGAGGAAACUCUGACGCAGUGACGCCGCGUGCAGGAAGAAGUUUUUCGGAUUGUAAACUGCUAUCGACAGGGAAGAAAAUAGCGAGUACCGGUAGAAUAAGCUCCGGCUAACUACGUGCCAGCAGCGGCGGUAAUACGUAGGGAGCAAGGGUUAUCCGGAUUUAUUGGGUGUAAAGGGUGGGUAGACGGAGAAGCAAGUUAGUUGUGAAAUCCCUCGGCUUAACUGAGGAACUGCAAUUAAAACUACUUCCCUGGAGUACGGGAGAGGAAAGUGGAAUUCCUAGUGUAGCGGUGAAAUGCGUAGAUAUUAGGAGGAACACCAGUGGCGAAGGCGACUUUCUGGACAGUAACUGACGUUGAGGCACGAAAGUGUGGGGAGCAAACAGGAUUAGAUACCCGGGUAGUC